UACGAGGGGGCGAGCGUUGUUCGGAAUUAUUGGGCGUAAAGGGCGCGUAGGCUGAUAGGAAAGAUCAGAUGUGAAAUUUCGGAGCUCAACUUCGAAGCGGCAUUUGAAACUCCCUGUCUAGAGGAUAGGCGGAGAAAACGGAAUUCCACGUGUAGCGGUGAAAUGCGUAGAGAUGUGGAAGAACACCUGUGGCGAAAGCGGUUUUCUAGCUUACACCUGACGCUGAGGCGCGAAAGCAAGGGGAGCAAACAGG
rnacentral:rRNA from 1 species